UACGUAGGGUGCAAGCGUUAAUCGGAAUUACUGGGCGUAAAGGGCGCGUAGGCGGCGCAACAAGUCACUUGUGAAAUCUCCGGGCUUAACCCGGAGCGGUCAAGUGAUACUGUCGUGCUAGAGUGCGGAAGGGGCUACUGGAAUUCUCGGUGUAGCGGUGAAAUGCGUAGAUAUCGAGAGGAACACCUGCGGCGAAGGCGGGUUGCUGGGCUGACACUGACGCUGAUGCGCGAAAGCCAGGGGAGCGAACGGG
rnacentral:rRNA from 1 species